UACGUAGGCAGCGAGCGUUGUUCGGAAUUACUGGGCGUAAAGCGAACGUAGGCGGUGUUCCAUGUCAGAGGUGAAAGCCUGGGGCUCAACUCCAGAAUUGCCUUUGAAACGGGAACGCUUGAGUCCGAGAGAGGAUGGCGGAAUUCCUAGUGUAGAGGUGAAAUUCGUAGAUAUUAGGAAGAACACCGGUGGCGAAGGCGGCCAUCUGGCUCGGUACUGACGCUCAGGUUCGAAAGCGUGGGGAGCAAACAGG
rnacentral:rRNA from 1 species